AAUAGUGUUUAUUAAUUGAUUUAAAUUAAUAAAUCUACACAAAUUUGUAUAUAGAUUUCAAAUUAAACAUUAUCUGAAUAACCACUACAUUGAGAUGUGUUUUAUGCUCAUCCAAGUAGAACAGGCAGUACCUGUUCUGAUUUAUUGAAUUUUGCCUUAGGUCAUUAUAAUUAAACUUUUGUAAAUAGGUUUGAAAGUGUUCGAAGUUCCUAUUGGUUUUAGUGUUGUUAGCUGGUGUUUUAUUGGUCAGUUCUUUUUCCCUCCAAAAGUUCUUGGUGGUGUUCAGUCAUUCUUUGUCUAGUUGGUUUAUAGAGAAGUUGGUGAAAAUAUAUGACAGAUAUUUGACUGUUGACUGAUCAUUUCUUUAACAAGGUAAGCUUAUUUUCUAACUUUAAUAUUAUUUCUAAUUUGCAGUAAACGUAAUAAUUUGGUAGAUUUAAUUCCAUAGCACUUGCACAGUGAGAAAGAUAUUUUGUGAGGCAUAAAUCAGUUAGCUUGAAAUAAGUUAAAUUUAUGUGUUUCACAGAUUUGGUAUACUGUAUUUUUAAAUACAUGCUUGAUAUUUUUAUGAUGCAAGUUUAUUUAUGUAAACUUCAUAAUUUACAGUCAAUUUCCAUGGACAUUUUUGUUAAAUGAGGGAUUAUUGCCACAUCACUUAUUCCCAUAGAAUGAGUGUCAUACACAUACAUAUACAUGUAUAUCUAAAGCUUAGAUUCUGGCAAUAAAAUGGAGGUGAUCGACAUCUAAGAACCCA